rnacentral:rRNA from 1 species
UACGAAGGUGGCAAGCGUUACUCGGAAUUACUAGGCGUAAAGGGCAGGUAGGUGGUUUGAUAAGUCUGUUGUGUCAGCUCCUGGCUUAACUGGGAGAGGUCAACGGAAACUAUCAGGCUAGAGUGUGGGAGAGGAUACUGGAAUUCCUGGUGUAGCGGUGAAAUGCGCAGAUAUCAGGAGGAACACCAAUGGCGAAAGCAAGUAUCUGGACCACUACUGACACUCAGCUGCGAAAGCUAGGGGAGCAAACAGG